CGUCGGGGCGGCGGGGACCCCGCGCUGCGGCCAGAGGAGGGGGCUUCCCCGAAGGAUGCCCGGCGGCGGCUCCCCGCUCCCGGGCGCGAGCUGAGCCGGACCCGGAGCGGGCGGCGCGUCGCCAUGCCGGCGUGACGGGCGCCCCCGGCUGCCCGCGCGGGCCCCCGCGCUGCCCCACGCCGCGCCGCGCCGGCGCCGGGCGGCAGGAUGGGCUGUAUCCAAAGCAUCACCUGCAAGGCGCGGAUCCGGCGCGAGAACAUCGUGGUGUACGAUGUGUGCGCCACCAUCGACCAGUGCCCCACGCGCAUCGAGGAGACCUCGCCCAUCGUCCUGCGCUACAAGACCCCCUACUUCAAAGCCUCGGCCCGCGUGGUCAUGCCCCCCAUCCCCCGCCACGAGACCUGGGUGGUGGGCUGGAUCCAGGCGUGCAACCAGAUGGAGUUCUUCAACACCUACAGCGACCUGGGCAUGUCAAGCUGGGAACUACCUGACUUGAGGGAAGGGAGAGUAAAAGCCAUCAGUGACUCAGAUGGGGUGAGCUACCCUUGGUACGGGAACACCACGGAAACUGUGACCCUGGUUGGUCCCACGAACAAGAUCUCCAGGUUCUCCGUCAGCAUGAAUGACAACUUCUACCCAAGUGUGACAUGGGCAGUGCCAGUGAGUGACAGCAAUGUACCACUGCUCACAAGGAUCAAGAGGGACCAAAGUUUCACUACCUGGCUGGUGGCCAUGAAUACCACCACGAAGGAGAAGAUCAUUCUACAGACCAUCAAGUGGAGGAUGAGGGUGGACAUUGAGGUGGACCCUCUUCAGCUCUUGGGGCAACGGGCCCGGCUGGUGGGCAGGACUCAGCAGGAGCAGCCCCGGAUCCUGAGCCGGAUGGAACCCAUCCCCCCUAAUGCACUAGUGAAACCCAAUGCCAACGAUGCCCAGGUCCUCAUGUGGAGGCCCAAGCGAGGACCACCUCUGGUUGUGAUCCCUCCUAAGUAGACGCAGACUGGCCUGACUGUGUGCAGAGCACAUGGCGCUAUGACAUGCAGUGAGGUUGCCAGGGGUGGCAGGAGCCAAACUGAGUUUCUGAGCCAAAGCAGACCUCUUGGUUUGCCAGCCUUUGCAGCCACUUACGAAGAGCAGGCCUGCUUCUGGGGCGGCAGAACCAUAAUCCUUAGGAAAAGUCCCUUCCUUUUAGGAAUAAAGAAAUCACUGAUUUGACAGACUUGCUGUGAUUACCAUGCAAGUAGCCAUAUUUCGGAGCUGACCAGGAUGAUUCUUUUACCUGAACUAUUGACCAUUUCUUUCCUGUGAGAUGCAGGGGAUGGAAACAAAAUUAAACAGUGCCUGUGGCAAAUGCUGCUUUCCAACCAAUUAGAAGUGGGAGUGAAAACAUCCACACCAGGUGUCACCUAGUAGGACAAGGCACGUCCAGCAAGCAGAACCACAUGGCAGAAACUAAAGAGGAGGAAGUGAGCCAUGGCUGGUGGUUCUAGAAGCGGAAGACCUGGACAGCUGAUUUCCCAUUAAAACGAGUGCCAUUCUAACUAUCUCCUAGCCAUCCUCCCACCCCAGGACCUGUAGCCCCUCCUACCCCACGACGGGUCAUGCAGCACUCCCCAUGGACUGGCUGGGCUGGCUGCUUGGCCCUUGGUGGGCUGCGCUGAAGUGGGAGCUGUGCCUGCUGUAUCUCUGUGUGUGAAAAGAUUGGGUCCAUCCAGAUCUCAAGUCCAUCCCUGACCCUCUGAGUGAAGCUGCCCAGGGAGAAAGAGCUGGUCAGCCUGGACUUCAGACACCUAACAUGGCCCAGCCCUGGUUUCCAAACUCUUGCCUUCCUUCCCUACACUUUUGGGUGGGAAACAGAGGGAAGGCGUAUCUCCCCUUUUCCUCCCUUCUCCACAUUGGGGGGCCAAUGUGGAUACUCUUCUUGAGAUUUCUCUGAUCCUUGGAGCUAGGGCCAAAGCAGUCCUGCUUCCCCGGCAUGACCAGGCUGGGUGUCUUCAGGGGACCAAGGGCAAAGUGCCUGUCAGCAGGAUUGAUGGGGAGAGGGGAGAGCCACCCUAAGAGGGCAAAAACGGUGUGCAUUGUUUUAUUUAUUGGUUUAUUGAUUGGCUUGCUUUCUGGUUGAUUCAUUUAGGAAAUAUGUAUUUAUUAUACAGCAGAAAACCCACUUUCAUCUUUGAGGCAUCCAGCCCCAGAAUCUGUCUUCUUGGCCCCAUAGAGCACAGUGAGUGACUCCUCUCCGAAGCCACAGAAAAAAGGGGGCGGGAUUCUCUCUCUGUACCCAAACACUUCCACCCCAACCCGAUUUUCAGCCAGAAGAGGGGUUAGAAACCACCAGUUCUAGUCAUGAUAAAGCCACACAAAUCAGCAAACAGAGGGUCAGCUGUCCAAAUAGAAGCUCCCAGCAGCCCGUCCCCUCUCCCGGCCCUCUAUGCAUUGUGGGGGGGCAUCUCGGAUCUAGACUUCUCCUUCUGCUCUGCGGCCACCUUCCAAAGGCCACAUGCACAUGAGAGAUGCCUGAGGAGUUUAAAAAUCAUCCAUACCCUGUCCCCUCCCCAACUCAUUACAGCACAAUCUGGGGCUAGAGCCUAGACGUGGGCAUUUUUAAAAGUACCCUGUAUGAUCCUAAUGUGAAGCUAGGCUUGGGAAGCGCUUCUAGUGUUUUUUCCCUUCAUCCCUCCCGUCCAUUCACAUCCUUUAUCCUCUACUUCCGGAGCUUUCUGCCUCACCAAGAAUGGGAGCGGCCACUGGGGAAUGAGAACUCUCUUCCCACUUCUCCAGUCCCUCCUCCUCACUCAACCUACCCAUCAGGUCAACCAGCCUGAGUAGAUCCCCAGAGAGUUGGCAGGUCCCAGCAUUUUGCACCCCAAGGCUGGUGCCUGCACCCAGCCCAGGGGCUCUCAAACCGUGUCCAGCUUUCCUAGGAACAAAACCUACUCCCCGCCAGAUUCUCUCUCCACCUGCCCUGCACUCCCCAACUCCAGAGGUUUAA